GAGCAGGGCUCUCGAUGGGCUCCUUUUUGAGGCCCACAGUUAGCCAUCACCCCAUUUUUUCAACAGUGUGAUAUCCUCACUGUUAGGUUAUUACUCGCUGUUUGGAAUAUUUUGAGCCAGGAGGGCACCUUCCCUCUCCAGCUGUCACUGCUGUGGUUGUUCAGGGUGGGACAGAGCCUGGCUGUCACGACCAGGGGGGAGAGACUCAGCUCUAAUUUGAGAGAGAGAGAGAGAGAGAGAGAGAGAGAGAGAGAGAGAGAGAGAGAGAGCAUGAUAGCACCAAGGAGCACUGACUCCAAAGCAAUAACACCCUGAGGUGGUCAGUGAGACCCCUCAGUGACUUUCUUGUUUGUUCUGUGAAAUCUCGCUCACCUCCUGGAGGGGUAGAGUGAGGGGCUGGAGCCCCAUUUCUUGUACCAUUGUAAGCGUGUGCCCCACUUCCAAGGGGCUGUGACCACUGGGUGUGGGAGCCAUUUCUGUCCUCACCAAAGGACUCGGGGCAGAGUGAUUUUCAUCCAUAGCUUCGGGGACCAACAAGCCCAGCCUGUUCCCACUGCUGUCUGACCCUCUGUCAACUCAAACUCUGCCAUCAGGAAAGGAGCAGAGGGGGUGGAGUUGGGGGCCCUUUCUGGUGCUGUGUCUCUAAGGGUGUUUCUUUUUUUUUCCCCUCUGGACAAAAGUCAUGUAUAGGACUGCCAUGUAAAGGGGCCAUCUCCAUUUUCCUCACCCAGAAUGCCUCUGCGUUCUGAAGGGAAGGGCCUGUAGAUUUUUAGCCCAUUUGCAUUUUUAAAAAGAAUACUAAGGCCCUGCGUGAGGAGAGCCAACGUGGGGUCCUUGGUAUGUCCGGUGGCAUUUCCGCCUAGGGGUCCCCUUCAUGUCUCAUGCUGAGCCAGAGUCAGGGAAGGAUGAAGGGGACAGCCAUUUCUCAUCCUUUCUGCUGCUUUUCUUUGGAGCCUCCUGGUGGCUCCCAGUUAUGUCAGGACAAAGCUGUAGCUCAUCUGAGAGGUUAGGAAACUCGGGCCACAGCAGGCCUCUCAGCAACAUGCACUGGGGGACAAAGCUGGGAGACCACUGCUCAAGGGCAGGUUGGCCACCAUCAUUAUUUCCAGCCGUUAGGCACAGGUGGCCCUGCCCUGCUUGGCUCUCUUCUGGGAGAAGAGGGUGGUUACAGGGAGGGGUGCCAGGUUGUCUGGGGUCUCCUGGGCAAUUUCUCCAGGGAUCAUGAGCGGAAGGGUUUUAGGCUGGGUUGUUACCUCUCCAGGUCCAGCUGGGAGUGGGUUGCCAACAAACAAGCUACUUCCUGGGUUUGUAGAGUAGGGGGGGGGCUCAGGGGAGUCCUCUCUAACCUUCAGAGGCGAUAGCAACCCCUUCCCAUAGCACCUCCCACAGCGUGUCCCCCGUGAUUUUACUCUGACCCCCAUAAGAACCCCAAAUAGCAAGCAAAGGGAUGCCUGUAUUGACAGCCUUGUUUUCAGAAGGGAACGGAGGAGGUCCAAUGAGAGAGGGGGGGGGAGAGAGAGAGAGAGGGAGAGAAAGAAAGAGAGAGAGAGAGAGAGAGAGAGAGGUGCUUGCUCAAGUUGUGACUUUGAAAGUGCCAGCUCGUUCUCCGGUGGUUCACAGCACAGGUGUGCAAGCACGUUAGCAGAGGCGGUUAAGUGGUUCACAUGUGAUUCACCACCGGGUUCCUUCUUGAGCACUUUGGGGUUCAGAAACAGCACAGGGGCUCCCACACUCUCCCAAGGCAGAGCUGUUGCACCAGGCAAGGUCACCUGCAUUUAUUUAUUGAGCAACAGCGAGUGCUACACCAGGCCCAGAGCCUUAGACCCCUUUCCUGUCCCCUGCAAUGGCUCUCUUGGCCCUCCAAGAGGGCCUGUGUCUGCAAAACAGGACCUUAGUGGACAGAGAGUUUCUAUAGGCUUGCCUAGCAAGCCCAAGGGUUUUUUUCCUUUCAGCAAGAGAGCCUGUGUGGGCUGGGUGGGAGGCUAGAAGUAGACAUAGGUGUUACCUCUGAGUCCUUUGUGCCAUCCUGCAAGGUGACAGGAAGAUGGGACCCCAGAGUCCUUGGGCUGGGAGCCUCCCUUCAUCUACCCACCUUUCCCUGUGUCCUCUUGGGGAGCAGGAACGGCCUGGUCCUCCAGGGAGGGAGGGUUUGGGGUGCGUCUGAGUUGGAGUGGGUCACAUGGCAUUGUAUUCAUGACCACAUAGCUCAUGUUGGAAAUUAAAGUUUUUGGCUUUUC
rnacentral:lncRNA from 1 species